rnacentral:lncRNA from 1 species
GGGUGCCCACUUUGGGGUCAGGGUGCCCACUUUGGGGUCACAAUGGCUAUCCAUAUCCAGUUUGGGGUCAAGGUGUCCAAUUUGGGAUCACCAUGGUGUCCAUUGCCCACUUUGGGGUCAGGGUGCCCACUUUGGGGUCAGGGUGCCCACUUUGGGGUCACAAUGGCUAUCCAUAUCCAGUUUGGGGUCAAGGUGUCCAAUUUGGGAUCACCAUGGUGUCCAUUGCCCACUUUGGGGUCAGGGUGCCCACUUUGGGGUCAGGGUGCCCACUUUGGGGUCACAAUGGCUAUCCAUAUCCAGUUUGGGGUCAAGGUGUCCAAUUUGGGAUCACCAUGGUGUCCAUUGCCCACUUUGGGGUCAGGGUGCCCACUUUGGGGUCAGGGUGCCCACUUUGGGGUCAGGGUGCCCAGUUUGGGGUCAGUGUCCAGUUUGGGGUCAGGGUGCCCAGUUUGGGGUCACCAUGGCUAUCCAUAUCCAGUUUGGGGUCAGGAUGCCCACUUUGGGGUCACCAUGGCUAUGCCACAUCCAGUUUGGGGUCACAGUGCCCACUUUGGGGUCACCAUGGCUAUGCCACAUCCAGUUUGGGGUCACAGUGCCCACUUUGGGGUCACCAUGGCUAUGCCACAUCCAGUUUGGGGUCACAGUGCCCACUUUGGGGUCACCAUGGCUAUGCCACAUCCAGUUUGGGGUCACAGUGCCCACUUUGGGGUCACCAUGGCUAUGCCACAUCCAGUUUGGGGUCACAGUGCCCACUUUGGGGUCACCAUGGCUAUGCCACAUCCAGUUUGGGGUCACAGUGCCCACUUUGGGGUCACCAUGGCUAUGCCAUAUCCAGUUUGGGGCCAAGGUGUCCAGUUUGGGGUCAGCAUGGAUGUCCCAUGCCCAGUUUGGGGUCAGGGUGCCCACUUUGGGAUCACCAUGGCUAUGUCAUAUCCAGUUUGGGGUCACAGUGCCCAGUUUGGGGUCACCAUGGAUGUCCCAUGCCCACUUUGGGGUCAGGGUGCCCACUUUGGGGUCACCGUGGUGUUCUGUGCACAGUUUGGGGUCACUGUGGCUAUCCGUAUCCAGUUUGGGGUCAGGGUGUCCACUUUGGGGUCACCGUGGUGUUCCAUGCACAGUUUGGGAUCAAGGUGCCCAGUUUAGGGUCACCAUGGGUGUCCCAUGCCCAGUUUGGGGUCAGGGUGCCCACUUUGGGGUCACCAUGAUGUUCCAUGCCCAGUUUGGGGUCAGGGUGCCCAGUUUAGGUCACCAUGGGUGUCCCAUGCCCACUUUGGGGUCACCAUGAUGUUCCAUGCACAGUUUGGGGUCACAGUGCCCACUUUGGGGUCACCAUGGCCAUGCCAUAUCCAGUUUGGGGUCACAGUGCCCAGUUUGGGGUCAGGGUGCCCUCUGGGGUUCCCUGUAUGUUUCCUGUGAUUUUCCCUGUGGGGCUCCCU